rnacentral:rRNA from 1 species
GACGAACGCUGGCGGCGUGCUUAACACAUGCAAGUCGAACGGUGACCCAGGGCUUGCCCUGGUGAUCAGUGGCGAACGGUGAGUAACACGUGGGCAACCUGCCCCUGACUUCGGAAUAACUCCUCGAAAGAGGAGCUAAUACCGGAUACGACCACUUCGGACAUCCGAUGGUGGUGGAAAGUUUUUCGGUCAGGGAUGGGCCCGCGGCCUAUCAGCUAGUUGGUGGGGUAAUGGCCUACCAAGGCGACGACGGGUAGCCGGCCUGAGAGGGCGACCGGCCACACUGGGACUGAGACACGGCCCAGACUCCUACGGGAGGCAGCAGUGGGGAAUAUUGCGCAAUGGGCGAAAGCCUGACGCAGCGACGCCGCGUGAGGGAUGAAGGCCUGGUGUAACUCUUCAGCAGGACGAAGCGAAAGUGACGGUACUGCAGAAGAAGCAACCGGCUAACUACGUGCCAGC